GUAAAAAUAUGACAUUUUCCUUCUUUAGGGACCAAUGAAAAUACUUUGAUUUUCUACACAUGCCUAAAAAGUACUGUAUGUUGGCUGUUAGGGGCGGGAACAGAUGAAGUCCUUUUUAUAAAAGUGAACUGACCACCAAACUGUACUCUAUUUUCUGCCCGACAGCACAGAGGACACCUCACCUCAACUCUGGACAGUAUUUUAAAAGGCCGUCUGUACAUAAAGAGAAAUGAAGGACAUAGAACUGAAUGAGGUGGGUCAGGAAACACAGCUAAUGACCCGAGAAACUCAAAAAAAUGGCUGCGUGAAGGUCACCGUCCCAGAGAACGCUGGAGUGAAGUAUACUGGCCUCUCCAAAGACGAGUUA